AUUGAACGCUGGCGGCAUGCCUUACACAUGCAAGUCGAACGGCAGCACGGGAGCAAUCCUGUGGCGAGUGGCGAACGGGUGAGUAAUAUAUCGGAACGUGCCCAGUCGUGGGGGAUAACGCAGCGAAAGCUGUGCUAAUACCGCAUACGAUCUAUGGAUGAAAGCGGGGAUCGCAAGACCUCGACGCGAAUUGGAGCGGCCGAUAUCAGAUUAGGUAGUUGGUGAGGUAAAGGCUCACCAAGCCGACGAUCUGUAGCUGGUCUGAGAGGACGACCAGCCACCACUGGAACUGAGACACGGUCCAGACUCC
rnacentral:rRNA from 1 species